rnacentral:piRNA from 1 species
UAAUCGUGGUUUUCAACUUUU